CGGCGCUCUCCCUAAUAAAGCGGUAAAUUGUGUGUUGUUUGCAUACUCCAAUACUGGCCAAUCACAUUCGCACGCUAUUUAUGUGAACUCGUGCAGUUAGCAGCAAAAUGGCAUCACGAGUGAAAUCCAAAGCGAUAGUAUCUAGUUCUGAAGGAUCAGACUCGGAUACAGAAUAUAAGCCUAAACCCAAAAAACAGAAAAAAGAAGAAAAGAAAACCAAAGCACCCAAAAAAAAUAGUGAUGAUGCAUCAGAUGACAUGAUUGCGCUUGCUAAGAUGAGGUAUGUAACUGUACGUGAUUUUAAAGGCAAAGUACUAAUAGAUAUCAGAGAAUACUACAAUGAUAACAGUGGAGAACUCAAACCUGGAAGGAAAGGCAUUAGUCUAAAUAAGGAACAAUGGGACAAGUUGAAGGAGAGUAUUGGGGAAAUUGAUGAGAAGAUUGAAGAAUUAUCAUAAGAAAAAUGCACAACUAUUUUUAUCAUCAGACACUGCUAACCAUUGCAUAUAGCAUGUCAACAUUUUAUCUUAUGUUUAUUUUUUCUUAUACUGUUUGUUAAUUUGUUGUAGAUUGUAGUACAUAAAUAUACAUGGUUAUUCAUUGAUAUUGCCCUCAUUACAUAUAUGUGACAUCACUCACAUCACACAGUAUAUAUCACACAAUAUGUCAUAUCACUCACAUCACACAGUAUAUGACAUCACCCACAUUACACAGUAUGUGAUAUCACCCACAUUACACAGUAUGUGAUAUCACCCACAUUACACAGUAUGUGAUAUCACCCACAUUACACAGUAUGUGAUAUCACCCACAUUACACAGUAUGUGAUAUCACCCACAUUACACAGUAUGUGAUAUCACCCACAUUACACAGUAUGUGAUAUCACCCACAUUACACAGUAUGUGAUAUCACCCACAUUACACAGUAUGUGAUAUCACCCACAUUACGCAGUAUGUGAUAUCACCCACAUUACGCAGUAUGUGAUAUCACCCACAUUACAUAGUAUGUGACAUCACUCACAUUACUCAGUAUCUGAUAUCAACCACAUUACACAGUAUGUGAUAUCAUCCACAUUACACAGUAUGUGAUAUCGCUCACAUUACACAGUAUCUGAUAUCACCCACAUUACACAGUAUGUGAUAUAACCAACAUCACACAAUAUGUCAUAUCACUAACAUCACACAGUAUGUGAUAUCACCCACAUUACACAGUAUGUGAUAUCACCCACAUUACACAGUAUGUGAUAUCACCCACAUUACACAGUAUGUGACAUCACCCACAUUACACAGUAUG